UGGGGAAUUUUGGACAAUGGGCGCAAGCCUGACCCAGCCAUGCCGCGUGCGGGAAGAAGGCCUUCGGGUUGUAAACCGCUUUUGUCAGGGAAGAAAUCUUCUGAGUUAAUACCUCGGGAGGAUGACGGUACCUGAAGAAUAAGCACCGGCUAACUACGUGCCAGCAGCCGCGGUAAUACGUAGGGUGCAAGCGUUAAUCGGAAUUACUGGGCGUAAAGCGUGCGCAGGCGGUUUUGUAAGACAGAGGUGAAAUCCCCGGGCUCAACCUGGGAACUGCCUUUGUGACUGCAAGGCUUGAGUGCGGCAGAGGGGGAUGGAAUUCCGCGUGUAGCAGUGAAAUGCGUAGAUAUGCGGAGGAACACCGAUGGCGAAGGCAAUCCCCUGGGCCUGCACUGACGCUCAUGCACGAAAGCGUGGGGAGCAAACAGGAUUAGAUACCCUGGUAGUCCACGCCCUAAACGAUGUCAACUGGUUGUUGGGAAGGUUCCUUCUCAGUAACGUAGCUAACGCGUGAAGUUGACCGCCUGGGGAGUACGGUCGCAAGAUUAAAAGCUC
rnacentral:rRNA from 1 species